rnacentral:rRNA from 1 species
GACGAACGCUGGCGGCGUGCCUAAUACAUGCAAGUUGAGCGCUGAAGGUUGGUACUUGUACCAACUGGAUGAGCAGCGAACGGGUGAGUAACGCGUGGGGAAUCUGCCUUUGAGCGGGGGACAACAUUUGGAAACGAAUGCUAAUACCGCAUAAAAACUUUAAACACAAGUUUUAAGUUUGAAAGAUGCAAUUGCAUCACUCAAAGAUGAUCCCGCGUUGUAUUAGCUAGUUGGUGAGGUAAAGGCUCACCAAGGCGAUGAUACAUAGCCGACCUGAGAGGGUGAUCCGCCACAUUGGGACUGAGACACGGCCCAAACUUCUACGGGAGGCAGCAGUAGGGAAUCUUCGGCAAUGGACGAAAGGCUGACCGAGCAACGCCGCGUGAGGGAAGAAGGGUUUCGGAUCGUAAAACUCUGUUGGUAGAGAAGAACGUUGGUGAGAGUGGAAAGCUCAUCAAGUGACGGUAACUACCCAGAAAGGGACGGCUAACUACGUG